UACGUAGGCAGCGAGCGUUGUUCGGAAUCACUGGGCGUAAAGCGUUUGUAGGUGGCUUUGUAAGUUGAAUGUGAAAGCCCAGGGCCUAACCCUGGAAGUGCAUUCAAUACUGCAAAGCUUGAGUAUGGGAGAGGAAGAUGGAAUUCCUGGUGUAGUGGUGAAAUACGUAGAUAUCAGGAGGAACAUCGGUGGCGAAAGCGGUCUUCUGGCCUAAUACUGACACUGAAAAACGAAAGCGUGGGGAUCAAACAGG
rnacentral:rRNA from 1 species